CGCAGCUGCUGCUGAUGAUGUCAGGAGGGGUAUAAAAGGAACGGCUGCAUCUCCCGUUUCAUUCACCUGUUCACUAAUCUGAGGCCAGCAGUGAUCCCUGCAGACAGAACCAUGAAGAAGCUGUGCAUCGGGUACCUCGGAGUUCUCCUGCUGGCUCUGCAUCUCUCCGCACAGGUGGCUCGAGCUCAGACCACCGUGGGGCCCAACACCACCACCACCACCACCACCACCACCCCCCCCCCAACGCCACCACCCCCAACGCAGCCUCUGUGUUACCGGGCAGCCUCGUCUCCUGCACGCUGCUGCUCCCGCUGGCUCUGGCGGCGUUUCUGCUCCACGACUGGUCCUAACGAGCGGACGGAUCUAACCGGACACUUAACGGCCAACACUGGUGGACUCGGGCUGCAGCAAUAGCCUAUUCCAAGAGCAGUUCUCUAAAAUGAUCCCUUCUAAUCAAACGCGUUUGGAUUUCACUUUUCUUUUUUUUUUUUUUUUUGUCCUCGGUGGGGGAAAUUGUAACGGGAGCGCGCACCCAGCGCCAUCCCCAUUACGCACCAGCCCGGGACGCGCCCUGCUGCUUCGCGUCGUCCUGUCCCGUUCUUUGCAAGCGCCCUCCAUGGACUGAAAAUUUUCGUUGUCCGGGGAAAUGCUGGUCUCUUGGCUGAGGCAGUUAUCUUCUAUGGGGGUAGGAGGAAAGACGGGUAGCUUGUGCCCGUUGUGCGCUCUUAAAAACGAUACUUGAUACCGGAUUUGUUAGGCCUAUGGUGAUUGUAAGCGAACUUAGAAAAUUUGUACAAAAAUGAUGGCAAUGUGAAAUGUACUUUUAGAUCUUGGAUUUUGUAAGUUCAAUAAAGCUUUAAAGUGUUGGUGACCUGA